rnacentral:lncRNA from 1 species
GAAGCUUAAUUUGUAAUGGAUUUUUUUUCCCCCAUUGUAUCUUUAUUAUUUGUUUAUUAUUGUUCACUUAUCAAAGCACUGAAGAACUCCAAUGUAUCUAAUAUCUCCUAAUUAUCAAGAACCAAAACCAAGUGCAACUUGUAAAUUGUUUAUGAAAACUCAAAAAACAAAAGAGUUCAACUUUUAAAUAUUGCAACGAGAUCAAAGUACACAUAAUGACUCCUAUCGAUCACUUGAAUGAUUAUCACAGAUCUUAUCCCCAAAUUUCUUGAGAGGGAUACAUACAUAUAUAUAAACUUAUAUAUCGAUCAAUUCUCUUUUGUUCAACCAUGGCAUUAAACAUCCCACACUCAUCACAGCUGCCGAAGAUGGCACAACAAAUUUGACCUUGAAAACUCUAAUCCCAAGCCUUCUCUUCGAUACUUCUUGUCGAAUAUCCGAAAAUAUUCUCAUCGCUGCCUCGUUCAACUCCUUUAGAGAUCCCUUGAACUUCUUAUUGCACUUAUUUUCUUCCGAAAAUUGGUAGCUGCUCAAGAAAGCUCGUCUUGCAUGCCAAUAGUAUUGGAGGUCAUUGCGAUUUCCACUAGCAUAUCAUCUUGCCACUUAUCCGCGAGCUUUAGCGACUCGCUUUGAUGUAUUUCCGGAUAAUCGAACACGAUGAUCGGACGAACUUUGACGUUCGGCAUUGGAGAGAAAUGAAGAUGACUCGAUCAUAAAGUGGCUCAAUUGUUAGU